UACGAAGGGGGCUAACGUUGCUCGGAAUCACUGGGCGUAAAGCGCACGUAGGCGGAUUGCUAAGUCAGGGGUGAAAUCCUGGAGCUCAACUCCAGAACUGCCUUUGAUACUGGCAAUCUCGAGUCCGGGAGAGGUGAGUGGAACUGCGAGUGUAGAGGUGAAAUUCGUAGAUAUUCGCAAGAACACCAGUGGCGAAGGCGGCUCACUGGCCCGGUACUGACGCUGAGGUGCGAAAGCGUGGGGAGCAAACAGGG
rnacentral:rRNA from 1 species